UACGGAGGGGGCUAGCGUUGUUCGGAAUUACUGGGCGUAAAGGGCUCGUAGGCGGUUUGUCGCGUCGGGAGUGAAAACCUACAGCUUAACUGUGGGCUUGCUUUCGAUACGGGCAGACUAGAGGUAUGCAGGGGAGAACGGAAUUCCUGGUGUAGCGGUGAAAUGCGCAGAUAUCAGGAGGAACACCGGUGGCGAAGGCGGGUCUCUGGGCAGUAACUGACGCUGAGGAGCGAAAGCGUGGGGAGCGAACAGG
rnacentral:rRNA from 1 species